AUGAAAAGUAAUACCAGCAGGUAUAACAUGAUCACAGAGUAUAAGACAACAUAUCACAAAAGUGAACAUGCAAAUCUGAAUACUACCGGAACAACGAUAACCAUCUUUUCAACAAGCAAACAUUUAUUAAAUAUUCAAGUUGAAAACCAUGGCAACUGCACGACUAUCAUGCAAGUGGGUAUUGUGGCUUGCCUGGGGAUGAAGAAGGCACCGGGGAGAAGUGCGGUGAAGCCGCGGAAAGACUCGCCGGGAAUUGUUCUCUCUCGGAGGGAGCAGAUUAAGGGCAAGGGCAUAAAGGUCAUUUUCAUAGUGUCAAACCAUAGUGAAAACAUGACCAACAGAAUGGGCUCGACGAAAAGAAGAAGUGAGCGUUGGUUUCACCUCAAACGAAGUUACGGAUAA
rnacentral:rRNA from 1 species